rnacentral:lncRNA from 1 species
AAAUCUUGAUCAAAUGAUGAACACCAAAUCGUGUAGAAUAUGAUAACCCAAUAAGCCCAAAAUUAUUUCUCCCUCAAAACCUCCUCAAAGAAAGAUUUCCUCUGUCUUCUUGAUGAGUUCUUGGAGUGUUUAAUCACAGGAUCUUAAUCUGAAACAACAAAUGAAAAUGUCAGUUCAACCAAAGUCGUUGUGAUCAACAGAAUCACGUCUAUUUAUAGUUUUCUAUAAAUCAGACGCUCAUGUAGUCGACUGUGCUACUAAUGAUGUCGACUGUCACCAGACAAUUAUAACAGUUAAGUCAAUUAGCAGCAAUCAUAACAACCAAAUUGAUUUCGCAUUUAAUACAAUUGACUUUCUUUUAAUGCUUUAACAGACAAUUGAAAUAUAGUCGUUACAAUAAAAAAGCAUUAACUGAAAUUCAAAACAAAUAACUAACUAAGUCGGAUCCACUGCGCAUGUAGUUGACUUAGACACUUCAAAUCUUUGAAAAUCUUUUCAAUGCAAAAUCACUCACAUCAUUACUUUUGAAAAUUUGUGCAAAGUCACGAGUUUUAAUCGACUUACUUCAUAAUGAAGUCGACUUAAAACUUGCAGUUAUGCCACACAAUAUAAGUUCAUCAGAAUGCAUGUAGUUUUCUUUUCAUAAACAUAUGUAAUGCAAUCAUAAGUGAUUUAUCAAGUAUAAGAUCAGUGAAUAUGCAUACAUAUAUGAGAAUCAACACAAACAUGUUCAUUAAGAUAUAAUCCACAAUAAAGAAUAGAACAUGUAACACAUAACAAUACAUGUGUUAUUAAUAAUGUGUUGUCAUCAUAAAAAACCAGAGCAUGUGAGAUUAAGGUUUAGCUAAACCAAUGCUUCCCUUAUCAAAAAUCUCAACAAUCUCCCCCUUUUUUUGAUGACGCACAACCAUGAUUAGUAAGCAACCAUGUUUGUACACAAACAACACAUAAAAUCAGUCAAGUAAUCACUAAUGUCAGAGCUAAUAUAAGCAAUGAGUAAGAGCAAGUGAUUAAAUGAUUUUUCCAAUGUAUCAGAGCAAGCAAAAGUUAAUCCUAAGAAGACUACACCGCAGCAUCAGCAUCCUCUAGUACUUUCUCCAGAGGCACCUCCUUAACAUCUGCUCACAUAAAAAUGGGUGAUCAUCGCAAAGGAGAAACAUACACAAGUAGCACACAACACAGAUGAGAUAGAUAGACAAACAACAUACAUAUAGCACAAUCAAUAAAUAUCAUCAUGUUUAGUUACCUAUAAAAAGAACAAUCAAGGCAUACCAUUUAAACCAUGCAUUAAGUACUCAACACGACUCAUCCAUAUUUGUAUAAUUGUCGAACUAUUAGUCGUCUUUGCACUUGCAUAGUUCAGCUGGCCCUCCCCAACACUAUGCAAGGUAAAUCCUCAUACCAGUCUAUGUCUAAACUCUAAGACUAUAGACGAGGACCUUCCUCUAUUCUCACCACUUACACCGUUCUUCUCUAUUUGAGCAUGAACAGUGUUUUGAGUGUAGGGAUAGGCUUACCGUUUCAAAGCUCCAUACAAUUAUACAAGACAACAACACAAUCUCUGCAUCCAAUUCAUCUCGCCCUAAGAUAUCCAGUUCAUACUCAAUUUCAUCAUUCCAAUUCACAAUCAUAUUCUUUCAAGCCACAUAAUUCAAAGAUAUGGACAUACAUGACACUCUGUCAAUCAUACAACAUCAAAUAAUCCAAACAGAAGAAGAAAAAAAGUGAAACUCACUUAGCCUGGUCGCAUAGCGCACCUGGGCGCACAGCGAAACCAAGCGAUUUCGUAGAGCGCACCCUCUCCCCCUCGCCUUGCGAAUUAUCCAACAAGGGGGAGCCCUGCAGAGUUAUUUGCAUAACGCACCCAGUGCGCUAAGCGAAUGCCCUGGCAGAGAGCUUCUCGCCAGGACGACUCGCUAUGCGAAUCCUCUCGCACAGAGAGUCUGCAUAAUCUGCAGAAUGAAAUUCUAUAGAUUUAUGCAACUUAACCACUGAAACCUCGUUCUAGACCUUUUUCCUUAACUUCUAAUGAUCCUAGAUCAUGGUGUAAGCUUAAUUAAACUUGCCUAGAUGAUUCUAAACAUUUUUAACAUCAUUCUUUAGUGUUUAUGCACAGAUUUCUGCUCUAAAACCUCUAUUUCCUCAACUUAGAGCCUUAAAUCUUAAACUACCACUUUGAACCUAUUUUUAACCAAUUUUAUGAUCUUAAUAAGUCAGAAUAGACUUUCUAACACUAUCCCAUCAGCACUUUAACACCUUAGACCCCAAUCACUCCAAUUCAUUACCUCACAUCCCCAAUUAGCCUAAAACACUUAAUUCAUCAACAAGGGGACCCAAUUUUAAUUCUCCUACCUAGAACAUGAUUUUAACUAGUUUGACCCUCCUAAUAAGUCGUAAUACGCCUGCUAACACUACCCUAACAGCCCAAUUACACCUCAGACCCCAAUUACCCAGAAUCACCUUCUCACUUCCGCUAAACUCCCUUAAAGCACUAAAAAUAUAUUUAAACUAUUACUGACUAACUGGUAUAACCUGUGUCACCUCAUUAACAAGCCCAAUUUCAGCAUAACAUCAUACCAAAUUCAAGUUAUAACCAUUCAUACACAAUUUCAAAUUUCAACAUACAAGAAGUACAUGCUUGAUCAUACAAACAUACCGAAAUUUUCACUGAAACAACACCAUAACACCAAACACCAUGCAUACCUAUAUAGUUUUAGAAUUAAAUAAAGAUCUAGCUCCCCUUACCUUAGGGUUGAGCAGUCCAGUACACAGAACAACUUCUCUAGUGCCCUUCCCGGAGAAGAACCGAAACAAUGCUCUACAA